rnacentral:rRNA from 1 species
CGUGGCCAACUACCCUGUGGACGGGGAUAACCUCGGGAAACUGAGGCUAAUCCCCGAUACGGCUUCCAGCCUGGAACGGCGGAAGCCGGAAACGUCGAGGCGCCACAGGAUGUGGCUGCGGCCGAUUAGGUAGACGGUGGGGUAACGGCCCACCGUGCCAGUAAUCGGUACGGGUGAUGAGAGUCAGAGCCCGGAGACGGUAUCUGAGACAAGAUACCGGGCCCUACGGGGCGCAGCAGGCGCGAAACCUUUACACUGCACGACAGUGCGAUAAGGGGACUCCGAGUGCGAGGGCAUACAGUCCUCGCUUUUCUGUACCGUAAGGUGGUACAGGAACAAGGGCUGGGCAAGACCGGUGCCAGCCGCCGCGGUAAUACCGGCAGCCCGAGUGAUGGCCGAUCUUAUUGGGCCUAAAGCGUCCGUAGCUGGCCGGACAAGUCCGUUGGGAAAUCCACCCGCCUAACGGGUGGGCGUCCAGCGGAAACUGUCCGGCUUGGGGCCGGACGACCCGAGGGGUACGUCCGGGGUAGGAGUGAAAUCCCGUAAUCCUGGACGGACCGCCGGUGGCGAAAGCGCCUCGGGAGGACGGACCCGACAGUGAGGGACGAAAGCCAGGGUCUCGAACCGGAUUAGAUACCCGGGUAGUCCUGGCCGUAAACGAU